GGUAACAGGAAGAAGCUUGCUGCUUUGCUGACGAGUGGCGGACGGGUGAGUAAUGUCUGGGAAACUGCCUGAUGGAGGGGGAUAACUACUGGAAACGGUAGCUAAUACCGCAUAACGUCGCAAGACCAAAGAGGGGGACCUUCGGGCCUCUUGCCAUCGGAUGUGCCCAGAUGGGAUUAGCUUGUUGGUGGGGUAACGGCUCACCUAGGCGACGAUCCCUAGCUGGUCUGAGAGGAUGACCAGCCACACUGGAACUGAGACACGGUCCAGACUCCUACGGGAGGCAGCAGUGGGGAAUAUUGCACAAUGGGCGCAAGCCUGAUGCAGCCAUGCCGCGUGUAUGAAGAAGGCCUUCGGGUUGUAAAGUACUUUCAGCGGGGAGGAAGGGAGUAAAGUUAAUACCUUUGCUCAUUGACGUUACCCGCAGAAGAAGCACCGGCUAACUCCGUGCCAGCAGCCGCGGUAAUACGGAGGGUGCAAGCGUUAAUCGGAAUUACUGGGCGUAAAGCGCACGCAGGCGGUUUGUUAAGUCAGAUGUGAAAUCCCCGGGCUCAACCUGGGAACUGCAUCUGAUACUGGCAAGCUUGAGUCUCGUAGAGGGGGGUAGAAUUCCAGGUGUAGCGGUGAAAUGCGUAGAGAUCUGGAGGAAUACCGGUGGCGAAGGCGGCCCCCUGGACGAAGACUGACGCUCAGGUGCGAAAGCGUGGGGAGCAAACAGGGAUUAGAUACCCUGGUA
rnacentral:rRNA from 1 species